UGUGCACUGGUGGGGUCCCUUGGCCUGGCCUGCACCCUCUCGCUAUCCGGGACCCCUCAGGGGAUAUCAGACUGCUGAUUUCGGCUCAAUCCCUGUAGGCCAGGCCAAGGGACUCCACCAGUGCACA
rfam:Myotis brandtii contig152685, whole genome shotgun sequence.